GUUCCGUAACAUAAAAUAGCUGUCGAAAGAACAAGAAACAAAAUCCACAGACAUAAAUGUUACGUAAUAAAUAAUGACACGAAAACUGUUUUACCCAUCCGGGCUUUUUUAAAGACGCUACAAAAUUCCCCAUCAUCAUCAUUAUCUGCUCUUGAAUCAUGUCAAUUUUCAGGGGAUUAAAUACAAAGACCUUGCUAACUGUUAUAUUAAUGUGGUGCGUUCGUAAUGAGACUGCUACAAUUAACAAUCUCUUUUGGAUAUCCGGCCUUGGAAAGUUGAAGAUUAGGUUAACCAUUCAAGACAAAAAGAAACAUCGCAACAUAAACAGUCGAUUAUCACACACUAAUGAGUUUAAGUUGGGUUGGAUUGAUGUUUUCGUAUGUAGGACACAUUGCGAGUGCCAUCCUUGAUACGUUCACGUAUCCUCUUAUUACGUUUCCAUCAAAAUGCAGAAAUAUCGUACAAUAUUCUAGCAAGAGACAGAUACAUCUUGAUUUGGUGUCAAUAUGAACAAUUUGCCGCAAGUUAUUGCAUCAAAUAUUGCAUCAAAAUGGAGCUAUCUUAUAUUCAAUAUUACAAGCAGAUUUAUAUGACAUCUGAACUUUUUUUAAUCUUCACUUUCGAUGUUCUUACUGCGAUCUAAAGCCAAA